AACAAAGAGCAAAUGUGCUUAAUUUAGUAAACAGCCCAAAAGGAAUAGCUCGACGAGUGUGGAAUUGUAAGUAAAUGCUGGAGGUGGCCUCAAAAAUCCAUCAGUCACCUACAGUCCAGGUCCUACACAUCUAUAAGUACAUGGAAAGUGUGGGUGACAAGUCAAAGCAACAAACUCUGAUUGAUGUUGAUGCAAUUGCAGUCCAGUUGCAAAUGGAAACACUUGAGCUGAUCGCCUGAGUUGUGCAAGCCCAAGUUGUGCCCCACAAAAUGUGACUGAUUACGGUCUUUUGAGUUCAGUUUAGUUUGGUUGAGUUCGGCACAGUCGAGAGAUUUCAGUGCAUAAACACAAAUGGUUCUGGAAAACUUUAAGCUGCUAUUUCUGCUGUCUUCAUUCAGUGCGGUGAAAAUCACAUCCUGGGAAUCGAAACAAAGUCUUCAUUCAGAGUGCUCCUCCCAGCAAAUUGCAGCAAUAAAAUUGAAGAAAUGUCCAAUGGGACUGUGAAAAAUGGACGGGCAAGUGGAAAUAAAAAUGGCAGGAGGACGGGACGAAGAGGAACCCACUGCCAGUCUGUUUGCUCCUGUCAACUUUCAUUCGCAGCCGCCCGUUGCUUACAGAGCCCCAUUUCAGUCAAGUGCCCCCAUAUUUUCCGCAUUUUCCCCGCAUUUCCCCCUCAAUUCGAAGUCAAGCGGAAUAACAACAGCAACACUUGCCGCAGGAUUUUAGGGGAAUGGCGUAAAAAAGCAAAAGUGUCGCCGAGUCCAUAAUGAGCAGCAGAAAUUCGCGUGGCGCCAUAAGUGACAAACGGCCGGGAAAUAGGAGAUCGGCAGGGGUUAUUAUCCAAAAAGGGAGGCAGUGCAUCCAAACUUCUGGCGGAGCAGUGGCAUCAUAUGGCAAAACAUUUGUAAUUUCUCAACCUCUGUCAGAAACAUUAAAGUUCAAGCGAAUUUGGAAUGAAAUACUGUCUCCAACAGGAAAUUCCAAUCAUAUGCAUGCAUCAUCAUUUCGAUACAACCGUAUAAAGUGAACAAAAAUAAUAAAAAGUAAUGUCGAGCCUUUAAAAAUGUUCCAUCCGAACAGACAAAUUUAUGCUUAAGUUCACCUUUUGAUUGCCAAACUUCAUGUCCUCACAUGAAAUCUGGUUAUUUUGGGAAUAUCCCAAAAGCCCGAGCCAGUUAUUUUUGUUAAUCGACCCACGCGCCCUGUAAUCCCAUUUUCAAUUUUCCAUAAACUUGAAACCCUAAGGCAUCCCAGGGUCCUUUCAUCGGAGUCACCUGAUCAGGUUGUAAGCAGACUAAGCAAUCAAAGGACACUGGUCGACAAAAGAAAGGACCUGCUUCUGGUCAUCGUCCAUUGGACGUUGGACGUGGGACAUCGGCCAUCCCAUCAACACAACUAAUCCCCGGCAUUCACCGAAUGAUGGACACAUCUGAUGGAUACUCCAUACCCAUCCCCGUCCCCGUCCCAUGCACUCCGCACUUCAUUUCCUCGGCAAUCCCAGCCUCUCUGUUGUUUCACUUUUUCAUGUCUGAUUACGGCUCAAGGCGUACACUGCGAGAAUAGGUCGCAGCCAGACAGUUGAUUAAUGUAUUUGCGAAUGUAUUACUACCGACGUUGUUGCUAAAUAAUAUUUCAUUUAGAUUAAUAUUUAAUUUCGCAUCUUAACUGACCUAUCUAACUUCCAGUUAUAAUUAAGGCAGUAAUUUCGAAGCGUUUCAGUAACCACUACUCUGAUGUGUUCGAUGUGCUUUUGGCUUGGACAGAUUCCGGAGAUCCCCAUCCGAUGCUGUCCUCCUUCGCAAGGACUCUGUUUAUCCCCGACAAAGAGGACGACGCACUGCCUGCUGAUUGCAGCCGUUACCAUUGAAAGAUGCUGCGGAGCUUAGAACUCGGAGCUCCGGCCUCAGUGUUUAUCUUCCGAGCGAUUCCAGCUGCCUGCUCUUGGAGAGCUAAGCAAACAAGCCGUCGGGCAAAGGGUUCUGUCGUUUAAAUAGCAUCUUGACCGCCCAAUGAAUCAUUCAUUUGCCGCCGAAUCCAAUUAUUGCGCAUACGCCCUGCUGCACGGGCCUAGAACUUAAAGCUGGCGAGCAACGAAGGAAGACCCACUAGUCACAUAAAUAGGUGUCGCCUGCAGCUGGAAAAAUGGAUUCGAUGUCUAGAUCGGAACCGAAAUCUGCCAAUGAUUUAUUAUUCGACCACUUAAUUGCAUAUGGAUAAUGACCUACAAAUGGAAAAUUAUGGCCUUUCAUGGGGAAUUAUCGGGCAAAAGUGCAUGUGAGUCUCUAAUUAUCGAGUUCAUACGUCUGCAGCUGUUUACCCUUGUAAUUAAGGCUUGUUGAAUAGUUAAAUAUUUAUAUACUCCUGCAGAGUUGAGGUAUUCAUAGUCUUCGAGUCAUUUCAACUUAACUUCGUAGGGUAACUUUUGUAAUUAGUGCCUAAAUAUAUGUUCUUUAUUGAUUGGUGAAAUAAAUUUAACUGUAUGCACCAAGUCGAGUCGCAUAUGUAUGAAAAGUAUGCUUUUUCAACUAAUACGAAAAAAUAGCAACAUGAAUUAUUAUACCCGUUACUCGUAGAGUAAAAGGGUAUACUAGAUUCGUUG